CGCACUUUUGCUGUUUUUGUUUAGUUUGUGAACAAAGACUUAGACAAAGUGCAAAAAAUAAAUCCUCUUUUGCAACCCAGAAAAAAAAAAAGAUGUU
ensembl:snoRNA